UACGAAGGGGGCUAGCGUUGCUCGGAAUUACUGGGCGUAAAGGGCGCGUAGGCGGGUCGUUUGGUUAGGGGUGAAAGCCCAGGGCUCAACCCUGGAAUUGCCUUUAAUACUGGCGGCCUUGAGUAUGGCAGAGGUGUGUGGAACUCCGAGUGUAGAGGUGAAAUUCGUAGAUAUUCGGAAGAACACCAGUGGCGAAGGCGACACACUGGGCCAUUACUGACGCUGAGGCGCGAAAGCGUGGGGAGCAAACAGG
rnacentral:rRNA from 1 species